AUUUCAUCCUAUACCUUCUAGAAGAGAGAAGAGGAGAAAGGGAGCGGAAGCGGUAAGGAAGGUGAAAGGUUGUUGGCCUUCUUCCUUGAUAGUUGUAUUGGGGUUCCUUUGUCGUCUUUUACUCGGAAGAGGCACUUUUCCUUCGGUCCCUUUCCGUUUCCGGUUAUACAGGUGGUUUUCUUCGAAUCGUGCAUGUUAGUGUGGAGAGUUUCUUUUGUUGAUUAGAGAUUUUCUUUCUUGCUUUGUUGUUUUUUGAGUCACUUUUCUUUUGGUUCUCACUUUGAAUGAGGGUGUUUUCUUGGGUCUGUUUUCUUUGGUCAUCCUUGUUUUGAGAGGGGUUUUGCUUUUGUUCUUUAGCCAGUUGGGAGAAGGCUUCUGAUUGCUUCUCGUCGUUCGUCUUAGGGUUGCACCGAUACAUCUGGUAGUAUCAUCGCUCCCUUGGGCUAUUUUUGGCUAAGUUCUACCAGACUUCCUUCGGUUGGUAUUUUAUUCGAAGCUCCAAUUUUGUUCUAAGGGUUUUAUGGUUUUGUAUGUUUCAUUCCUUCCUUUCAAUAAUUCCAGCUCACUCCAGAAAAUACGCGACGCGACCCGUACCCUCCACGCCACCUCUAUCCAUUUGCUUCGUUCAUGUUCUCACAUAACAGAAAAUGCAAAAACAAAAUUAAAUAAACUCAAGUUUAAUCUCAGCCAUCCACGUAACCCACUUGUCCCGCCAAAUCGGAAUAUUUCGUAGGUCCAAUCAAAGUCUAACUUCCACGCCGCCCGUCCACGAAGACUGCCAACGCGUCUUUCCAGAUGCUACCAGUUUUAUAAGAAUUUAGGUUCUUUCUUGUCAAAAAAGAAAAAAGGUUUCCCUUUAAAUACCUCUUCUCUCAACGGAAAUUAAUCGUCUCAAUUUGAUCUUUGUUUUCCAAACUCAAACUCUCCUAAAUCUCAUAAUUUACCAUCCUCAAUUUCCAAUCGUUCAUCCUAAUUUCUGCUAAUCUCAAUCAGUUGGUUUCUGAUAAACGAUCGCGAUGAUGAUGUCGAUGUUCAGCUCUUUCGAUGCCUUCUGCAAGGAAUUCUACGAGCAAAAAGUGAAGUUCUCGGGGGUUUCCUCUACUCGCAAUGAAAGAAGCAAGGCUACAGCUGUCGAGUCAAUGAAGAAGAAAGGGAUGGAAAAGAAAAGUUCACCUUCAUCGGAGAACGUAAAGGAGUCAUUGAAGCAGCAGAGAAAGCCGAGAUUUGCACCUGAGUUGGACGGUGUGCACUGUUUCGAGACGAUACUUCCUUAUUGAAUAUGCUUUUAUAUUGCUUUUAUAACUAUUGUAAAUUGAGAAUCAAUUAAUAUCUUCAAUUGCAUAUAAAUAUAUAAUUCUUCAGAUUUAA